rnacentral:rRNA from 1 species
GGGCCCGCGUCCCAUUAGCUUGUUGGUGGGGUAAUGGCCUACCAAGGCGACGAUGGGUAGCUGGUCUGAGAGGAUGAUCAGCCACACUGGCACUGAAACACGGGCCAGACUCCUACGGGAGGCAGCAGUGAGGAAUUUUGCGCAAUGGGGGAAACCCUGACGCAGCAACGCCGUGUGAGUGAAGAAGGCCUUCGGGUCGUAAAGCUCUGUCAAGUGGGAAAUGAUGGUACCACUGGAGGAAGCACCGGCUAACUCCGUGCCAGCAGCCGCGGUAAUACGGAGGGUGCAAGCGUUGUUCGGAAUUACUGGGCGUAAAGAGCGUGUAGGCGGUUUGGUCAGUCGAAUUGUGGAACCCUUGGCUUCCAAACGGGGGUGCAUUUGGAACUGCCAUUCUGGAGUAUGGGAGAGGAGAGUGGAAUUCCCAGUUUAGAGGUGAAAUUGUAGAU